GAUGAACGCUAGCUACAGGCUUAACACAUGCAAGUCGAGGGGCAGCAUGAACUUAGCUUGCUAAGUUUGAUGGCGACCGGCGCACGGGUGCGUAACGCGUAUGCAACCUACCUUUUACAGGGGCAUAACACUGAGAAAUUGGUACUAAUUCCCCAUAAUAUCUGAGACGGCAUCGUUUUGGGUUGAAAACUCCGGUGGUAAAAGAUGGGCAUGCGUUGUAUUAGCUAGUUGGUGAGGUAACGGCUCACCAAGGCGACGAUACAUAGGGGGACUGAGAGGUUAACCCCCCACAUUGGUACUGAGACACGGACCAA
rnacentral:rRNA from 1 species